UUCGACGGUUCCUGUGGGUCGGAACCUUAAGGUCACUUGGACUAAUCCAUCUGGUUAGGAAUUCUAGGGAUAUUUUUUUUGUUUUAUUCAUUUAUGGCCGAGUAACCUUUUGCUCUGAUUUACUUGCAGAAAUCGAAGAUCCCCCGAAGCUCUCUACCAAGCUCACCAGGGCUCUAUACCGCAAGUUGCAACAGAGUCCCUGUACCUGGGUGGCCUACACCACUUCUCGAAUAAGUGCAGCCAGAUUCCCAGAUACCUACAACGCCUCUUUCCAAGAUCCCAUUCCUGCUGAGAACCUUGAGAUUUCGGCAGGCGAUUCGGUUGUAUCGAUCUCAACUGGUGCUAGUGCUUCGGGAACUGAAAAGUCUCAGCCAGGUGACAUGACUCUGCGACCGUCAUUCCGUUCUAGGGGUAACCCCUCUAAAGCUGCCAGUGCUUCUCGUGGAAGCGACAGGAACCAAGGAGGAUCGUUCCUUAUCUCAAUGAAGGAAGUUUUGGACGACGGAGGAUCCAAACCUGUUGUCGAGACUACUCCAACUGAGGUUGUAGCUCAGGAUGCUGCUCCUCUCCCUGAGGUCCAGGUGCCGGAGUCUGAGUACCAGGCUCCGAAGGGUACCUCUGAGAUCGAGCCGUCGAGACACAAGAGGCCCAGGAUCGAUCAGGGCGGAGCUUCCAUCCGUUCUUCUUCCUCGUCCUCUAGAGGAGGGACUGUUGGGUGGAGCUUUACCCAUUCGAAGCCUGGGUCGAUCCUGGAUGACUCUUGGGGCCUAGCUGCGAUAAUGAGGCACCUGAAGAGGAGAUGUGUUUGUGCUCAACUCCUUGAGGUAAGCACAAAUCUCAUCCAUGACGUUCCCUUACAGACCAUGAGCUAAUCAAAGAUUCUCAUAUGAUUCUUUCUCUGUUUUCCGUAAACCAAAUCAAGAAAGAGACGUGUGAUUGAUGUUACCUGUUUUGGACAAUCUGAGCAUCAGCCACCUGGAUUUGGAUUAAUUUCUCGUACGCACUUGCGACUUCUUCCAAUGGUUUCUUCAUAAUUUCCGAUAUGACGUCGACUUUCCGAGAGGACUCCGGUACUGUUUCCAUUGCUUUUAAAAAAACUUGUAAUUCAUGUUGAGUCCACAUGAUCAUGAUGAUGAUAUGAGGAUGGAGAAGAUGAAAGAAACUUAGAGAAAGGGAGAGAGAGAGAGAGAUCAAGAAUGGGGAAGAGAUGAAAGAGCGUGGGAAGGGUUUUUCGAAUGAAUCAUUCGAAUAUUUAUAGGCAAGUAACCGCCACAUUACAACUUAUUUUUAAACUUAUUGUUGGGGUUAAUAUGCGUAAUGAUUAUUUGGAUCAACUGGUUUGAAGGUUAGGGUUUGAUUAUUAGUGGCACGGGUUUGGUUUACUUUUUUCAUACAUAAAUUUAACCGAAACAAAUUAUGGUUUGGUUUGGGUUUUAAUUGGGUUAUAUAAAUUUGUAACUAGAUUAUUUUGGAUUUCGAAAUAUAUUAGUACCAAAAUGUAUGGUUUAAACUUACAAAAACGAAUUAGCCUAACUAAUAACCUAAUCAAUUUUGAAAAUGUAUGUAAUAUCAGUUCAGAACCAAAAUAACCGAACAUAAACAAAAAAAAAUUCAGUUUGGUGCAACUCGGUCCAGCAUGUUUGGUUCGUUUCAGAACCGAGGCUAAAGAACUAAGCAAGAUUUGAGUUUAUAUAUCGAUGACAUUGCUUGCAAUAUACUCUACUGACACUCUAAUCAAAUGAUCAGUCCUUUUUUCCUCCAUUCCCCGUAUCCCUUUAUGCAUCGAUUCUUCUACAACUUCUAAAGCUUCCCGUUUAAACAAGAGCGUAUCUGAGAAGCAAACCCGGGCUCUACAUUCACCACUAAACUCCUCACCGUAGGCGUUUGCGGAGCUUAUUAGCUAUCCCACUAGUCAAACUGUUCGCUUGUCCAUUCGAGGUUGUGGUCAUGGUUCCUGAACUUGGGAAGUUGUGACUCAGCUUUGUUUUUCUUCUUGGGCUACUGGUGUAGACCGCUGGAGAAUUGUAUUUGUACUCAUAGUUUGGUGUUGAGACAAUCAGGAGCUUGGGGGUGAAACAAGCUUAGAAUUUGUUCACAAAACUCACAGCGCUUGAUCUUCUUCCAUGUACUCAGAUUCUGAACAUAUUAUACGUGAAUUAAAAUUAGACAGAACAAACACACACGCAAAAAAAAAAAGUAUUAGAGUAGAGAGCAGGUAAUAGGAGGACCUCUAAGCAAGAACCAAUGUCAAAGUUGUGUAGCCUGGACUCAAACUCAAGGAUGGAACCAUCAUAAAGUGUAGCACGUUGAUGUUGCAAGCUUCCUUGUUUAAUUUUUACAUGUAAAUCAAAACACAAGACACACACAUAAACAUUUGUUCAAUCAACCAUCUCUCUCUAUCUUGAUUUCACAAUAUAAAAAGAUUCAUGACUUCAUCACGUUAAGUCUAGGAAUGGAAGUCAAAACAGUAAUGUAUGAUUUUGCAUACCUUCCUUAGCAGCAUGGGUAAAGACCCUUCUGUGCCCAUAAUGGUUUGAAGUGAAGUUGGAUAGUCAAGUAGAGAGUCUAUAAUAAACUUUCAGAACCGCAUCCAAAGUCAACCUGAAACAAGAAUAGAUGUGACUCACAGAUUUACCAAUAUGGACAAAUAUAGAUUUUGAAAAACGAUUAUAAAAUGCUUUGAACCAAACCAAAGUAGAUGAGGAUGACUCUUUUAUAUUCCACAUGCUGUUUUGAAAAAGGCCAAGAGAAAUAUUAAAUGAAUAACCAGAGACUUCCAAAGAAUUAUCCAAGAACUUAAACUUAGGAAUAGCAGAGUACACUCAGAGCCACAAGAAGCUUUGCCAAGAGUCCUGUUGAAAACCAAAAACAAUACUUGCAUACCAGAUCAACAACGAGACAGCUCCACUGAUUUGGUAAUAGAACUUAAUACCUGGAUAUCAUCACUUGGCUGCCAUCCUUCAAGCAGAGCCUUUCAGCAAUACUAUCCAAGUAAUACCGGUCUGAUGAAUCAACAAGCUCCUUACCGAUACAAGGUAAAUAUAUACAGCAUUGACUUCUCUGCUAUCUAGAGAAUCAGAUACAUGAGUAGCUACUGCUUAUACAAUUUCUGAAGGGUAUGCAUUUUCCUCCAAAGUGAAGCAACAUGUGGAGAUGCAACAAUAAAGUCCGACAACUUUGCAGCAGUCUUCAUGACACAGGAAAUGACCAAGAAAGGAUCUGAUUCCACCGAAGGAUUUGAUAACUUUAAAACGACUAUGCAUCAAAAUGUAGCAGGAACCGAGCCGCAACAAUCACCAUCCCUUCGCAAUGUCGCUCUAAAGUGAGCUCCCAAAGGAUGCUCAGCUGGAAGAAACUACAACCGCAACAACUUGAAAACAUUAAUGCCAAUAACACUUCAUUAGUUAUAAUUUUCAAGGUAAUAUAGAAAUAUUUGAUCUACCAAGCUUCAUCCACAAUUAGAUCAUAAUUCUGAGGACGAAUGCCUAGCUGCAACAUGAAUGGUCUUGUCUUAGUCAACAUAAGAGAAAACACAACACAUAAAAGAGAUAUAUAUAUAUAUAUAUAUAUAUAUAUAUAAGAAAGCAUACCUUCUUGAGAUCCAAUUCAGCAGCAGACUGUUCAGAAUCAUUCUUCAUCUUGAAGACACCUGAUACAACAGAGAAGACAGGUACUACAAGUGGCAGCUAUAGAGGCUUGGAUCUUUUUGUGGUAUUGCUAAUCCUGGGAAACCUCUGUGAGAAAAAAAUCAUGAACUUCCUCAAUAGUCAAUUCAGUAGCUUGCAUUAGCACCAAACUUCUGAUGUAUAAUUGUCUUCGGGGUUAGUGUAUGUUUCCCUCCACCCGCCAUCGCAAAAGUCAAUGCGGCUUUCUUUAGCACACUGAAACAAACAAAGAGUUAAUGUGAAUGUUGCCAAAAAUGAGGAAAGAUGGUAACUUUUGUGGAAGGCCCUGAAAAAAAAAAUAGUGUUCCUAACACAAGACCGUUAAUGGUAGCAUUUGUUGUGAGUUGAUUUUCUCAUGUGAGAAGAAAACAACUAGCUCUAAACACCUGACACCACAAAAAUAUAACAAAAUGAUGUGUUUAUAUAAGAAAUUGUCAAAUAUUCAGUAGCUGUGUUGGUAAAGUAUGGUGACUGAACCCUCAAAACCCAGAUUUGAAACUCACCAGUGUCACCUUUAAUAUUUUUUGACCCCACACAUAUUUAAUCCUGGGUCAGCCCCUGGCCACCAAGAAGUUUUAGUGAGCCCUACGACGAAAUUUUGAAAUAAGAUUAUGUCCUAUCCGUGUACUGCAAACAUAGCAUAUAACAUUCUUCCAAGAACAUGGUUCCUGAACUUGUGGUGAUAGCAAAUACAUUACCAUUCCCAAAACAGAAAGUAAUCAUUUUGUCCAUACAGCAAUCAAACAUACCAAAAACAAAAAAUGAAAAGGGUAAAUGUUUAUUGGUGGUCUCAACUCAAGUAGAAAGUACAAAUGGACGAUCUAAUACAUAAUAUUUAUGCAUGUUACCAAAGAGUAACAAAUAAGAUAUGAGACUAGAUUCUUUGUUUUUGUGUAAUUCCAAAAGAAAAGCUUUAUUCUCCCGUUUUAGUUGUUGGGAGAUCCUUCGUAUGAAUCGAUCAGCUCCUUGAGUUU